ACCCCUACGGUUCUUCUCAGGUCCGCCGCAACUCCUGAGUCCGUAGGGAGGCUGGUCCGGAUGCGGACAGAGUGGCCUCUUCGACAUGCCGCUCCGGACCGGCCGCUCU
rnacentral:sRNA from 1 species